rnacentral:rRNA from 1 species
CAUCGGCGAGUGAGCGGCAAGAGCUCAAAUUUGAAAGCUGGCCCCCUCGGGGUCCGCAUUGUAAUUUGCAGAGGAUGCUUCGGGAACGGCCCCCAUCUAAGUGCCCUGGAACGGGCCGUCAUAGAGGGUGAGAAUCCCGUCUGGGAUGGGGUGGCCGCGCCCGUGUGAACCUCCUUCAACAAGUCAAGUUGUUUGGAAAUGCACCUCUAAUUGGGUGGUAAAUUUCUUCUAAAGCUAAAUAUUGGCCGAAAACCGAUAGCGCACAAUUAAAGGGAUCGAAAAAUGAAAAGCACUUUGAAAAAAAAGUUAAACAGCACGUGAAAUUGUUGAAAGGAAAGCGCUUGCGACGGAAGUCGCCCGCGGGGUUCAGCCGGCACUCUGGCCGGUGUACUUCCCCGCGGGCGGGCCAGCGUCGGUUUGGGCGGCCGGAUCAAAGGCCUCUGGAAGGUAACGCCUCUCGGGGCGUCUUAUAGCCCGGGGUGCCAUGCGGCCUGCCCGGACCGAGGAACGCGCUUCGGCUCGGACGCUGGCAUAAUGGUCGUAAGCGACCCGUCUUGAAACACGGACCA